GGUUGAUCCUGCCAGUAGUCAUAUGCUUGUCUCAAAGAUUAAGCCAUGCAUGUCUAAGUAUAAACAAGUUUGUACUGUGAAACUGCGAAUGGCUCAUUAAAUCAGUUAUAGUUUAUUUGAUGAUAUAUCACUACAUGGAUAACUGUGGUAAUUCUAGAGCUAAUACAUGCAUUACAAAGCCCCAACUUCUGGAAGGGGUGUAUUUAUUAGAUAAAAAACCAACGCGGCUUGCCGCUCCUUUGGUGAUUCAUAAUAACUUCUCGAAUCGUAUGGCCUUGUGCCGGCGAUGCAU
rnacentral:rRNA from 1 species